rnacentral:tmRNA from 2 species
GGGCUUGUACUGGUUUCGACGGGGGUUUUGCAGUCAGGGAAGCCAUCUGCGGGCCGGGACCGCACAGUAAACCGGAAACUAAAUAUAAACGCAGAAGAUAAUUACGCGUUAGCAGCCUAAGGGCUGCUUGUCGGCAGGAGGUUGCUCACAGCUUCCCCAACCGGCAUCAAAUCCUGUGAGGCACUCUGUGGCCAAAGCUUUGCGGCGGCAGAAGAACUUAUGAAGCUACUGAGGCUGUGAACCUGUCAUUAGGUGCACCGUUGAGGGAACGUUAAAAUAAUGACUGUGAUGGGAGAUGCCUUGAUGAAUAGGCUUUCGGACAGGGGUUCGAUUCCCCUCAGGUCCAUCC